rnacentral:sRNA from 22 species
AAAAAGCCUCAUGCAAAUGAGGUGGAGCAUGCGUAAUGGGGGACGCAUGCUCACCAGAAAACGGCC